rnacentral:rRNA from 1 species
GACGAACGCUGGCGGCGUGCCUAAUACAUGCCAGUAGAACGCUGAAGGAGGAGCUUGCUUCUCUGGAUGAGUUGCGAACGGGUGAGUAACGCGUAGGUAACCUGCCUGGUAGCGGGGGAUAACUAUUGGAAACGAUAGCUAAUACCGCAUAAUAGUAGAUGUUGCAUGACAUUUGCUUAAAAGGUGCAAUUGCAUCACUACCAGAUGGACCUGCGUUGUAUUAGCUAGUUGGGGGGGUAACGGCUCACCAAGGCGACGAUACAUAGCCGACCUGAGAGGGUGAUCGGCCACACUGGGACUGGGACACGGCCCAGACUCCUACGGGAGGCAGCAGUAGGGGAUCUUCGGCAAUGGACGGAAGUCUGACCGCGCAACGCCGCGUGAGUGGAGAAGGUUUUCGGAUCGUAAAGCUCUGUUGUAUGAGAAGAACGAGUGUGAGGGUGGAAAGUUCACACUGUGACGGUAUCUUACCAGAAAGGGACGGCUAACUACGUG